rnacentral:rRNA from 1 species
GAUGAGUUCUCCCUGAGACUUUAAGUCUCCUGAAGGAACGUUAAAGACGAUGACGUUGAUAGGCCGGGUGUGUAAGCGCAGCGAUGCGUUGAGCUAACCGGUACUAAUGAACCGUGAGGCUUAACCUU